rnacentral:rRNA from 1 species
GAGUUUGAUCCUGGCUCAGGACGAACGCUGGCGGCGUGCCUAAUACAUGCAAGUCGAACGAACUCUGGUAUUGAUUGGUGCUUGCAUCAUGAUUUACAUUUGAGUGAGUGGCGAACUGGUGAGUAACACGUGGGAAACCUGCCCAGAAGCGGGGGAUAACACCUGGAAACAGAUGCUAAUACCGCAUAACAACUUGGACCGCAUGGUCCGAGCUUGAAAGAUGGCUUCGGCUAUCACUUUUGGAUGGUCCCGCGGCGUAUUAGCUAGAUGGUGGGGUAACGGCUCACCAUGGCAAUGAUACGUAGCCGACCUGAGAGGGUAAUCGGCCACAUUGGGACUGAGACACGGCCCAAACUCCUACGGGAGGCAGCAGUAGGGAAUCUUCCACAAUGGACGAAAGUCUGAUGGAGCAACGCCGCGUGAGUGAAGAAGGGUUUCGGCUCGUAAAACUCUGUUGUUAAAGAAGAACAUAUCUGAGAGUAACUGUUCAGGUAUUGACGGUAUUUAACCAGAAAGCCACGGCUAACUACGUGCCAGCAGCCGCGGUAAUACGUAGGUGGCAAGCGUUGUCCGGAUUUAUUGGGCGUAAAGCGAGCGCAGGCGGUUUUUUAAGUCUGAUGUGAAAGCCUUCGGCUCAACCGAAGAAGUGCAUCGGAAACUGGGAAACUUGAGUGCAGAAGAGGACAGUGGAACUCCAUGUGUAGCGGUGAAAUGCGUAGAUAUAUGGAAGAACACCAGUGGCGAAGGCGGCUGUCUGGUCUGUAACUGACGCUGAGGCUCGAAAGUAUGGGUAGCAAACAGGAUUAGAUACCCUGGUAGUCCAUACCGUAAACGAUGAAUGCUAAGUGUUGGAGGGUUUCCGCCCUUCAGUGCUGCAGCUAACGCAUUAAGCAUUCCGCCUGGGGAGUACGGCCGCAAGGCUGAAACUCAAAGGAAUUGACGGGGGCCCGCACAAGCGGUGGAGCAUGUGGUUUAAUUCGAAGCUACGCGAAGAACCUUACCAGGUCUUGACAUACUAUGCAAAUCUAAGAGAUUAGACGUUCCCUUCGGGGACAUGGAUACAGGUGGUGCAUGGUUGUCGUCAGCUCGUGUCGCGAGAUGUUGGGUUAAGUCCCGCAACGAGCGCAACCCUUAUUAUCAGUUGCCAGCAUUAAGUUGGGCACUCUGGUGAGACUGCCGGUGACAAACCGGAGGAAGGUGGGGAUGACGUCAAAUCAUCAUGCCCCUUAUGACCUGGGCUACACACGUGCUACAAUGGAUGGUACAACGAGUUGCGAACUCGCGAGAGUAAGCUAAUCUCUUAAAGCCAUUCUCAGUUCGGAUUGUAGGCUGCAACUCGCCUACAUGAAGUCGGAAUCGCUAGUAAUCGCGGAUCAGCAUGCCGCGGUGAAUACGUUCCCGGGCCUUGUACACACCGCCCGUCACACCAUGAGAGUUUGUAACACCCAAAGUCGGUGGGGUAACCUUUUAGGAACCAGCCGCCUAAGGUGGGACAGAUGAUUAGGGUGAAGUCGUAACAAGGUAACC